rnacentral:rRNA from 1 species
AAAUUAGAGUGUUCAAAGCAGGCAGAUCCAAUUUUCUGCCACCGAAUACAUUAGCAUGGGAUAAUGGAAUAGGACCCUGUCCUCCUAUUUUCAGUUGGUUUUGGCAGCGCGAGGACUAGGGUAAUGAUUAAUAGGGAUAGUUGGGGGCAUUAAUAUUUAAUUGUCAGAGGUGAAAUUCUUGGAUUUAUGAAAGAUUAACUUCUGCGAAAGCAUCUGCCAAGGAUGUUUUCAUUAAUCAAGAACGAAAGUUAGGGGAUCGAAGACGAUCAGAUACCGUCGUAGUCUUAACCAUAAACGAUGCCGACCAGCGAUUAGGAGACGUUGAAUACAAAACACCACCAUCGGCGCGGUCGUCCUUGGCGUCUCGGUUUCGGCCGGGGCGCGGGGACGGCUUAGCC